rnacentral:tRNA from 1 species
GAGGUCUCUGGCUCAUACCCGACCACAGCCGCGGAAUCAUAAUCCGUCGGUGCCGAGUUCGACUCUCGGGGGGCGCCA